rnacentral:rRNA from 1 species
UGGGGAAUAUUGGACAAUGGGCGCAAGCCUGAUCCAGCCAUGCCGCGUGAGUGAUGAAGGCCCUAGGGUUGAAAAGCUCUUUCACCGGUGAAGAUAAUGACGGUAACCGGAGAAGAAGCCCCGGCUAACUUCGUGCCAGCAGCCGCGGUAAUACGAAGGGGGCUAGCGUUGUUCGGAUUUACUGGGCGUAAAGCGCACGUAGGCGGACUUUUAAGUCAGGGGUGAAAUCCCGGGGCUCAACCCCGGAACUGCCUUUGAUACUGGAAGUUUUGAGUAUGGUAGAGGUGGGGGGAAUUCCGAGUGUAGAGGUGAAAUUCGUAGAUAUUCGGAGGAACACCAGUGGCGAGUGCGGCUCACUAGACCAUUACUGACGCUGAAGUGCGAAAACGGGGGGGGCCAACAGG